AACGCACAUUGCGCCCUUUGGUAUUCCGAAGGGCAUGCCUGUUCGAGCGUCAUUAUCACCCCUCAAGACCUCGCGGUUUUGGACUUGGAGGACCGGUCGGCCACGACCCCUCUGAAAGAUAACGACGGCGGCCUCGCGGAACCCCCGGUACACUGAGCUUUUUAUACUGAGCACGUAUCGGAUUGUGGGUGCCCGGGACCCGGUCUUCCCCUUCCCCGGAAGGGAAUAUUUUCUCAAGGUUGACCUCGGAUCAGGUAGGAAUACCCGCUGAACUUAA
rnacentral:misc_RNA from 1 species